AUUGAACGCUGGCGGCAUGCUUUACGCAUGCAAGUCGAACGGUAACAGGGUGCUUGCACCGCUGACGAGUGGCGAACGGGUGAGUAAUGCGUCGGAACGUGCCGAGUAGUGGGGGAUAACGCAGCGAAAGUUGUGCUAAUACCGCAUACGUACUGAGGUAGAAAGUGGGGGACCUUCGGGCCUCACGCUAUUCGAGCGGCCGACGUCUGAUUAGCUAGUAGGUGAGGUAAAGGCUCACCUAGGCGACGAUCAGUAGCGGGUCUGAGAGGAUGAUCCGCCACACUGGGACUGAGACACGGCCCAGACUCCGGCGGGAGGCAGCAGUGGGGAAUUUUGGACAAUGGGCGAAAGCCUGAUCCAGCCAUGCCGCGUGUCUGAAGAAGGCCUUCGGGUUGUAAAGGACUUUUGUCAGGGAGGAAAUCCCUAGUGCUAAUAACACUGGGGGAUGACAGUACCUGAAGAAUAAGCACCGGCUAACUACGUGCCAGCAGCCGCCGUAA
rnacentral:rRNA from 1 species